rnacentral:sRNA from 1 species
AAUACUAAAAUAAAAAAAUAAAAAGAUAAAGACAAACAAAAUAAAAUAAAAAUGGUUCUUCAUAUAAUUUUUAUUCUCUCUCAAGAUAAAGGGUAUUUUAGUAUUUGAUAUGUAUUUUGUUUUUUAGUCUAUUAGACAAAUUCUCUAUCUCACAAAAAGCAAAAAAAGUAUCUAUUUCUCUAAUUUAAAAAAAAAACUACCUACUUUACAAAUUAUUUUUGAAAAAGUGUCUACUUUGCCAAUAAGCCUUUAAAACUUCCCUAAAAUAGUCAUGUCCAUAAUAAUUUCAAUGAAUUAGAAAUUGACAAACAAUAGAAAAUAAAAUAUGUGGCUGAUACUUCAAACUAAAAUAAUUUCCAAAAAAU